AUGUACAACACCUCCAAGCACUAUGUAUGCUACCUAGUAGGGAUGAAACUUCCAGGGUCUUGGGCUGAGGUUGUGUUCACUCAGCCCAAGUCAGUGUCUGGAUCUUUGGGGCAGAAGAUCACCAUCUCUUGCACUCGCAGUAGUGGAAACAUUGGAAGCAAUUAUGUAUACUGGUAUCAGCAGCGCUCAGCAAACUCACCCCGUCUGCUCAUCUAUGAGUAUGAUCAAAGACCUUCUGGGGUACCAGAUAGGUUCUCUGGCUCCAAGGACAGCUCCUCCAACUCUGGCAUCCUAACUAUCUCUGGGUUGCAGCCUGAGGAUGAAGCUGACUACUACUGCCUGUCUGGUUAUGACAGUGUUCCACACAGAGCCCCAGAUUUAUGGGGAACUGAGACAAAAACUCUCUAG